AACGAACGCUGGCGGCAUGCCUAACACAUGCAAGUCGAACGAGACCUUCGGGUCUAGUGGCGCACGGGUGCGCAACGCGUGGGAACCUGCCCUUAGGUUCGGAAUAACUCCCCGAAAGGGGUGCUAAUACCGGAUAAUGUCUUCGGACCAAAGAUUUAUCGCCUUUGGAUGGGCCCGCGUUGGAUUAGCUAGUUGGUAGGGUAAAAGCCUACCAAGGCGACGAUCCAUAGCUGGUCUGAGAGGAUGAUCAGCCACACUGGGACUGAGACACGGCCCAGACUCCUACGGGAAGCAGCAGUGGGGAAUAUUGGACAAUGGGCGAAAGCCUGAUCCAGCAAUGCCGCGUGAGUGAUGAAGGCCUUAGGGUUGUAAAGCUCUUUUACCCGGGAUGAUAAUGACAGUACCGGGAGAAUAAGCUCCGGCUAACUCCGUG
rnacentral:rRNA from 1 species